GACUAUACUGAGAUCUACGUAUAAUAUAUACACAUCAUUAAACAUUGGAGUCUGCCGACUAAGUGGGAGUAACUUGAGAAUUGCUAUUUGAGCGUCAUCACACAUCUCUUCAAAGAAGACUAUGCUGAGAUCUAUAUAUUAUAUAUAUUAUACAUACACAUCAUCAUUCAACAUUUGUCAAUCCGACACUGGAUUAUGAAAUAAAUUGGAGUCUGCCGGCUAAUUGGGAAUAAUUCUGUCAUUUCUGAAAAAUAAUCGUUUUAACUGGACAAUAUUCUGGGAUUCGUUGCAAAAAUUGGUUCGAAAAAUAUUUGUUGAUCAAAAAGAGGUGAUCCUAUUAUCAU